AGGGAGCCGGAGCCGCCCGGGGAGGGGGAGGGGCGGGCGGCGAGUGAGGAUUCUCCCUCUCCGCUGUCCUUAAAGGGGCCGCGCGGGACGCAACGCAGCUGGCGCGCGCCCGGGGCUGUGGGGGACCCGGAAAGCGGCGGCGGCCGGCGGCUGGACGGGGAUGGCACGGCGGAGGGAGCCGGCUUGUUUUUAAAACUCUGCCUCCGCUCGCCGUCGCGCGCUCCGGUUCCUCCGAGUUGUUUAUUCCAUUUUCCUCUUCCUGAGACGGCCGCCGCCUCUGCGCGUGCGCGCCCGGCGCGGGGGCUUGUGGGUAAAGGCCUGGCCGGGGUGGCAGGCGUGGCCCCCCGGGGGCAUUCGCGAGCAGACCGGUAGGCGGUUGAUCCAGCCGGAGACCCUGCGUGGCCUUCCGCUCGUCGCGGGUCGGGUGCUGACGCUUCGCGAGAAAGGAUGCCCUCCUUAGAGUCUCCUCCCUGAGCCAGAUUUUCUCAAAAGACAAAUCUGUUAUGAAAAGGACGGGUGUGGGCGGUAUUUAAGGAGUUGUGGCAACCUGACGAAGUCAAAGAAGAAUGGAUAUACCCAAAAGUACCACACUACAGAAAGGGUUCCUCCCAAUAGUCCUGUGAAACAUGAAAAUACGGUCUUGUAUGCAACCUUGGGAAUCUCUGAGAUUGAAGGACCUGUGAGCUUCUUUACUUGGUUCAGACGGUCAUGUUUCUGUUGCUGUGAAGAGACACCUUGACCACGGUAACUCUUAUGAAAGAAAACAUUUCAUCGGGGCUGGUUUACAGUUCAGAAGUUUAGUCCACUAUUGCAUGGCAGGAAACUGUCUGCAAGGGGGCAGACGUGGUGCCAAAGAGGUAGCUGAGAAUUCUACAUCUGGAUCAGGAGGCAACAGGAAGAGAGUGUGACUCUGGACCUGACUUGAGCAUCUGAAACCUCAAAGGCCACCCCCAGUGACACACUUCCUCCAGCAAGGCCACACCUCCUAUUAGUGCCACUCCCUGUGAGCAUAUGGGUACCAUUUUUAUUCAAACCACUGCAAACACUUAGUUUUAAUUCCAGAUCUCAAAACUCCAUCCUUGGCUCUUUUUCUGAUGAGGCAGUCAAGAUCAUGGGAUUUGAGUCUUUCCAAGUUAGGUUUUUUUGUUUGAUGUUUGGUUGUGGGUUGUUUUCUUUUCCUAGGGUUUAUUUAUUUAGUAGUAUGUGUGGCUGUACACAUGCCUUCCUACUCUUUUGGAGGUCAGAGAACAACUUCUGAGAGUCAGUUCCCUCUCUACCGUGUUUCUAGGCAGUUUUGUUUCUGCUGCUGUGCUUCAAACACAAGCUGUAGGCCGGCAGUCCCAUCUCUCCACAGGAGUGUUGAUUUACAGCUGCUUACCUCUGCAGCUGGUGUUUUCUGUGGGUUCCUGAAACCAAACCUAGGCCCCCACUUGCACAGUGUACUAGUUGAAGUUACUUUUGCUAUAAUGAAAAUGGCCAAAAAUGACAUGACCAAAAGCAAGUUGGGGAGGAAAAUGUUUAUUUGGCUUACACUUCAUAUCAAAGCAAGUCAGGACAGGAACUUAUGCAGGGCUGGACUUGGAACUGGAGCUGAUACAGGCUACAUGGAGUGAGUGCUGCUCACUGGCUUGCUCAGUCUGGGGUGUUUGUUUGUUUGUUUGUUUGGAGACAGGGUUUCUCUGUAGUUCUUGGUGCCU